ACGCAAUAGAUACCCGGGUAGUCCACGCCGUAAACGAUGGAUACUAGCUGUUGGAGGUAUCGACCCCUUCAGUAGCGAAAGCUAAACGCGUUAAGUAUCCCGCCUGUGGAGUACGGUCGCAAGACUAAAACAUAAAGGAAUUGACGGGGGACCGCACAAGCGGUGGAUCGUGUUCUUUAAUUCGAUGAUAAACGAAGAACCUUACCAGGGCUUGACAUCCAGGGAAGCACUACGAAAGUAGCGUGUGCCUUUUGGAACCCUGUGACAGGUGAUGCAUGGCCGUCGUCAGCUCGUGUCGUGAGAUGUUUGGUUAAGUCCAUCAACGAGCGCAACCCUUGUGAAUAGUUGUAUUUUUCUAUUCAGACUGCCCCGGUAACGGGGAGGAAGGAGGGGAUGAUGUCAGGUCAGUAUUUCCCUUACGUCCUGGGCUAGAAACACGAUACAAUGGCUAGUACAAUGCGCAGCAAAGCCGCGAGGUGGAGCAAAUCGCAUCAAAGCUAGUCCCAGUUCGGAUUGAAGGCUGAAACUCGCCUUCAUGAAGUC
rnacentral:rRNA from 1 species